GUCUGUUAACCUUCCUGCGGUUACUUUACGUCAAUAGCGGAGUCAGUGACGUCUAAAACAUUGCUAUAUUCUCUCACAGUAUCGGACCUAGGCGUUCCACCAUGUUACUUGAGCGAUACUGCGUUUGCCGCGGGCAUUCUACCCUUGGAGCAAAGUACUGUGACACCGCAAAAUACUCGACAUGAGCCGACAACGACCAAUUUAGCAGUGUUUGCAUCUCCAUGCAGAGUACCUGGUGUACGCCCAUAAUCCGGGCGAAUUCGAUUUCAAAAGUUCCGGAGCCGUGAACGCCGAGAACACGUGCGGCGACUCCGUGUCCACCGUCAGAGAGACGCUGAUUGUGAACAUCAUCAGUACGUGACGUCGCCGAGGACGUCAGCGGAACGUUGACGUUAAAGACGUUGGAUUUUGUUACUUUCGAUAAGUCUGAUGCCACCUGCUCAAUGACGAGCGCUGACGGAGGACCAUUCGCCGUCACUGGCAACCAAAUCGUAAAGACGGCUGGAGCUCUGGACUUUGAGACAAAGGCAACGUAUAAUCUUGACGUCACGUGCACUGACGACCUUCUUCAAACCACGGAUACUUACGUCGUCAAAGUCUAAAACGUCG